AUUGAACGCUGGCGGCAGGCCUAACACAUGCAAGUCGAACGAGUGGCGGACGGGUGAGUAAUGUCUGGGAAACUGCCCGAUGGAGGGGGAUAACUACUGGAAACGGUAGCUAAUACCGCAUACCAUCGGAUGUGCCCAGAUGGGAUUAGCUAGUAGGUGGGGUAACGACUCACGUAGGCGACGAUCCCUAGCUGGUCUGAGAGGAUAACCAGCCACACUGGAACUGAGACACGGUCCAGAUUCCUACGGGAGGCAGCAGUGGGGAAGAUUGCACAAGGGGCGCAAGCCUGAUGCAGCCAUGCGGCGUGUAGGAAGAAGGCCUUCGGGUUGUAAAGUACUUUCAGCGAGGAGGCGUUACUCGCAGAAGAAGCACCGGCUAACUCCGUGCCAGCAGCCGCGGUAAUAC
rnacentral:rRNA from 1 species